GGAAAGAUGAACUCUAUUGUUUUAAUACUUUACAUAAGCGGCACAACAGGAGCAUUAUGGGAAUAAAAGUUUGACUUCCCAGUAUUUCUGAGCACACCUUGAUCUUCUGAGUGUUGGCUUCUUACAGGGGCUUUUUCUUGUCCUUAUCUCCUUUGGCAGUACAAGACUGCAGUGAUGCUACUGAAAUGUAUGUUGAACAAGCCUCUUAGGCCAAAUUGCUGAUCCUUGUGACAUGACAGCCUGAUUCAUUCCAACAUGUACACUGAAAUUAAAAGAGCUGUGGGCAAUUAUCACACAUGGGACAACUGCACAGGCCACAGCAGUGACCAGAGAUGAAAAUACUGCUGGGGGGAGCUCAGCAAGGAGAAACGCCAUGGUGCA